rnacentral:piRNA from 1 species
UGAGAGGCUAAAGCAGGAGGAUUGGGAGU